UAAUUGUUCAGCUACAAGAUGCUAGUUGUUGCCACCAAGAUGAAGACAUCUAGACUAUGACCAUUAAGCCUUUAUCUUUAAAUAACAAUGCUUUCGGGUUUUGUUGACAUUUCCGCGCGCGCCAUGUUCAAACUACACUUGAAUAUGUGCAGUGUCGUCGGGGAUGGAAGGCGAUGGUGCAGGAUCUGGCCACAUUGAUGGUGUCAACGAACAACCCAUGACUGGCGAAACACAUAUCAACCUCUGGUAUGUCAACGCAAGAGCAAGGAGGGAAACAACAGUCAUGAGAGA